CAAAAGUAAAAUUUUUAAAGGAUAGAAAAGGAGGAGGUGUGAGAAGUUUGAAGAGAAAGAAAAAAUAGUGUGCAUCAGUCACCUAGCUUAGAGAGACUGCCAUGAUAAUCAACCACCUCUGCUUAUUGAAAUAGACUGUAGAGACUUU